AUGUUUAGAAGAAAUCUUCAUCCUCCCCUUACGGGUCAGUGGAACGAUCUGGUGGAGGUGGUUAACUCCUGGCAUUUAUCUGAUGAGGCUGAUCAGAUUAGCUGGACUUUGGGUAAAAAAGGUAAAUUCUCGACCAAAUCGGUUUACGCCUAUUUGGAAAGACCCCUGGCUGGAUGUGAUUAUAGAUGGAUCUGGAAAGCAAAAAUUCCCCUCAAAAUCCAAAUAUUUCUUUGGCAAGUGUUUCAAGACGCGGUUUUGACUAGAGAAGUCAUGAGAAGGCGUAACUGGGCUCUGCAAUAA
rnacentral:rRNA from 1 species